rnacentral:rRNA from 1 species
UACAGAGGUCCCAAGCGUUGUUCGGAUUCACUGGGCGUAAAGGGUACGUAGGCGGUCGGGUAAGUCUGAUGUGAAAUCUCACAGCUUAACUGUGAAACUGCAUUGGAUACUAUCCGGCUAGAGGAAUGGAGGGGAGACUGGAAUACUUGGUGUAGCAGUGAAAUGCGUAGAUAUCAAGUGGAACACCAGUGGCGAAGGCGAGUCUCUGGACAUUUCCUGACGCUGAGGCACGAAAGCCAGGGGAGCAAACGGG